GCUGGAAUAUCUCAAUUGGUUAGAGCUUCUGCUUUUGUUGCCACAAGGUUGAGGUUCAAGUCCUUCUUCCACGUCUGCA